GGCAGGGGGGGCGUGAUUUAGCGAAGUCUGCAGUGGGAGAGAGAAUCAGGAGACGAGCGGUAAGUGAGUGGUUUGGGCAAAAAUUAUCAUCACCUGUUUCUUGUUCUAGUAAUUGGCGUGGAGAGAGUAUAAAAGCCAGGAGAGACGGAAUCAAGCGAGAGAGAGACGGACUGCUGACCCAGGCCGGAAGCGGAAACCGGAAAAGAGGAAAACGAAAGUGCUACUGAGCGUGUCAGAAUAAAAGUCACCGUUUGGAGACGACGGGUUUGAGCAGCCGAAACUCCUCGCUUCGCUCAUCCACCUGGUAAUCAUGGUUCUCAAACAUCACCUUGAAACGGUCGUCCAUCAGGGUAUUGGCUACGGCCUUGAGAGAAAAACAGAUAAGAGCAGACUGAGACAAGGACUCACUUUCUUCCAUGAGUUUCAUGGCCAGUUCCUUGUUGACCUUGGACAGCUUCUGUUAGAGAACACAAGUCGGAGAAUGACGUCAAAAGAGAAUGAGUCAAAGCACUGAUGAUAACAGACGAUGAGAGCCCCAUGUGGAACAAGUGUAUGGACAGAAUGGUGAUCUAGUGUCACCAUUUGAUUUGUGAAAAACUACCAGACACACACUCAGAGAUAUUCACUACAACAUACCAUUAAUACAUGUUUAGUUUAACUUGAGCAAAUUGUGAAAGGAAUAUAUUAUAUAGCAGAAUGUACUUCUCAAAGUAAUAAUUCUAAUUAUAAUAAAAUGAUAAAAGUAAUAUCUGACAAUAUUUCUGACACUAAAAAUAAAAAGGAAAUACGUUUUAAAUGAAAUACACUUUUAUUAAAUAAUUCAUGUUUUAUGAGUUUAUUUGAUUACCACUGGCUUUGAAAACAGACAUGGCAAUGCUUCUGAAACUAAAACAAUUAAUAUUAUUGCAAACAUUUUAAUAAACUAUUUGAGUGAUUAUAUUUUAUGAUUUCAAAUGAUUAUUAAUAUUUUAAUAAAAUAAAAUGGAAAAC
rnacentral:lncRNA from 1 species